AUUGAACGCUGGCGGCAUGCCUUACACAUGCAAGUCGAACGGCAGCACGGGAGCAAUCCUGGUGGCGAGUGGCGAACGGGUGAGUAAUAUAUCGGAACGUGCCCAGUCGUGGGGAUAACGUAGCGAAAGCUACGCUAAUACCGCAUACGAUCUAUGGAUGAAAGCGGGGGAUCGCAAGACCUCGCGCGAUUGGAGCGGCCGAUAUCAGAUUAGGUAGUUGGUGAGGUAAAGGCUCACCAAGCCGACGAUCUGUAGCUGGUCUGAGAGGACGACCAGCCACACUGGGACUGAGACACGGCCCAGACUCCUACGGGAGGCAGCAGUGGGGAAUUUUGGACAAUGGGCGCAAGCCUGAUCCAGCAAUGCCGCGUGCAGGAUGAAGGCCUUCGGUUGUAACUGCUUUGUACGGUAACGAAACGGUAA
rnacentral:rRNA from 1 species